rnacentral:rRNA from 1 species
GACGAACGCUGGCGGCGUGCUUAACACAUGCAAGUCGAACGGAAAGGCUCCAGCUUGCUGGCGUACUCGAGUGGCGAACGGGUGAGUAACACGUGGGUAAUCUGCCCUGCACUCUGGGAUAAGCCUGGGAAACUGGGUCUAAUACUGGAUAUGACCUUUCUCCUUAUGGGGUUUGGUGGAAAGUUUUUCGGUGUAGGAUGAGCCCGCGGCCUAUCAGCUUGUUGGUGGGGUGAUGGCCUACCAAGGCGACGACGGGUAGCCGGCCUGAGAGGGUGAUCGGCCACAUUGGGACUGAGAUACGGCCCAGACGCCUACGGGAGGCAGCAGUGGGGAAUAUUGCACAAUGGGCGGAAGCCUGAUGCAGCGACGCCGCGUGAGGGAUGACGGCCUUCGGGUUGUAAACCUCUUUCAGCAGGGACGAAGCGUAAGUGACGGUACCUGCAGAAGAAGCACCGGCUAACUACGUG